rnacentral:rRNA from 1 species
AGUAACACGUAAACAACCUGCCUUCAGGAUGGGGACAACAGACGGAAACGACUGCUAAUACCGAAUAAGUUCCAAGAGCCGCAUGGCCCAUGGAAGAAAAGGUGGCCUCUACCUGUAAGCUAUCGCCUGAAGAGGGGUUUGCGUCUGAUUAGCUGGUUGGAGGGGUAACGGCCCACCAAGGCGACGAUCAGUAGCCGGUCUGAGAGGAUGAACGGCCACACUGGAACUGAGACACGGUCCAGACUCCUACGGGGAGGCAGCAUG